rnacentral:rRNA from 1 species
GACGAACGCUGGCGGCGUGCUUAACACAUGCAAGUCGUACGGUAAGGCCCUUUCGGGGGUACACGAGUGGCGAACGGGUGAGUAACACGUGAGUAACCUGCCCACAACUUUGGGAUAACGCUAGGAAACUGGUGCUAAUACUGGAUAUGUGCUCCUGCUGCAUGGUGGGGGUUGGAAAGCUCCGGCGGUUGUGGAUGGACUCGCGGCCUAUCAGCUUGUUGGUGGGGUAGUGGCCUACCAAGGCGGCGACGGGUAGCCGGCCUGAGAGGGUGACCGGCCACAUUGGGACUGAGAGACGGCCCAGACUCCUACGGGAGGCAGCAGUGGGGAAUAUUGCACAAUGGGCGCAAGCCUGAUGCAGCAACGCCGCGUGCGGGAGGACGGCCUUCGGGUUGGAAACCGCUUUCAGCAGGGACGAAGCUUUUUGUGACGGUACCUGCAGAAGAAGCACCGGCUAACUACGUG